GAUGAACGCUGGCGGCGUGCCUAAUACAUGCAAGUCGAGCGAACAGACGAGGAGCUUGCUCCUCUGACGUUAGCGGCGGACGGGUGAGUAACACGUGGAUAACCUACCUAUAAGACUGGGAUAACUUCGGGAAACCGGAGCUAAUACCGGAUAAUAUAUUGAACCGCAUGGUUCAAUAGUGAAAGACGGUUUUGCUGUCACUUAUAGAUGGAUCCGCGCCGCAUUAGCUAGUUGGUAAGGUAACGGCUUACCAAGGCAACGAUGCGUAGCCGACCUGAGAGGGUGGUCGGCCACACUGGAACUGAGACACGGUCCAGACUCCUACGGGAGGCAGCAGUAGGGAAUCUUCCGCAAUGGGCGAAAGCCUGACGGAGCAACGCCGCGGGAGUGAUGAAGGUCUUCGGAUCGUAAAACUCUGUUAUUAGGGAAGAACAAAUGUGUAAGUAACUAUGCACGUCUUGACGGUACCUAAUCAGAAAGCCACGGCUAACUACGUG
rnacentral:rRNA from 1 species